rnacentral:rRNA from 1 species
GUCUCAAGACUAAGCCAUGCAUGUCUAAGUAUAAACGCUUCUAUACUGUGAAACUGCGAAUGGCUCAUUAAAUCAGUUAUAGUUUAUUUGAUGGUUCCUUACUACUUGGAUAACCGUAGUAAUUCUAGAGCUAAUACAUGCAGAAAGUCCCGACUUCUUGGAAGGGAUGUAUUUAUUAGAUCCAAAACCAGCGCGAGUUUCCUUCGGGGGCUCGGUUGCAUGGUGAUUCAUGAUAACUGCUCGAAUCGCAUGGCCUUGCGCCGGCGAUGAUCCAUUCAAAUUUCUGCCCUAUCAACUUUCGAUGGCAAGGUAGUGGCUUGCCAUGGUGACAACGGGUGACGGAGAAUUAGGGUUCGAUUCCGGAGAGGGAGCCUGAGAAACGGCUACCACAUCCAAGGAAGGCAGCAGGCGCGCAAAUUACCCAAUCCCGACUCGGGGAGGUAGUGACAAUAAAUAACAAUGCUGGGCUAUCGUAGUCUGGCAAUUGGAAUGAGUACAAUCUAAACCCCUUAACGAGGAACAAUUGGAGGGCAAGUCUGGUGCCAGCAGCCGCGGUAAUUCCAGCUCCAAUAGCGUAUAUUAAAGUUGUUGCAGUUAAAAAGCUCGUAGUUGGAUUUCGGGGCAGCCCGGCUGGUCCGUCGCGAGGCGAGUACUGGUCGGCCGCCCUUCCUCUCGAAAGCCCCGACUGCUCUUCACUGCAGUGGUCGGGGAGUUCGGGACGUUUACUUUGAAAAAAUUAGAGUGUUCAAGGCAGGCCAUCGCCUGAAUACAUUAGCAUGGAAUAAUGGAAGAGGACCUCGGUCCUAUUUUGUUGGUUUCUAGGGCCGAAGUAAUGAUUAAGAGGGACAGUUGGGGGCAUUCGUAUUUAAUUGUCAGAGGUGAAAUUCUCGGAUUUAUGAAAGACGAACAACUGCGAAAGCAUUUGCCAAGGAUGUUUUCAUUAAUCAAGAACGAAAGUUAGGGGUUCGA